CAUAGAAAAACUUUUAGAAAACCCAAAGCCGCCUUUUUUUUAACCCUUUCUGCUAGGGUUUCAUCUCCAAAAACAUGCAGCCGUCGAACCACCACCGCACGGUGACUGACGGUGCACCGAUGACGACUGAUUUCACCAACGGUGGAGAGCCCCGACUAUGCCAACAGAGGUAUGGCGGACGUGGCUCGGACGUGGUACAUGUUUGGGUAGUGAACGGUGGUGGAGGAAGUGGGCGGUGGAGUGGCGCACGACAUGGGCAGUGCCUAAAGCACUUAGAGGGCUAGGGUUUUCCCUCCUUGCUUAUUUUUUUAUUUGUUGUGGGCUAAAUUUUGGGCCUGUUUAAUUUAGGUUUGUUUAAUAUAAUUGAUUUAUAUUUUGGGCCGGGUAAAA